CUCAAUGAGGACGAAGGGGUGAUCUCCGAGUGCUCUUUGAUGAAGCGAACUCUGGAGCCAAACGCGAUGACAUGCCAGUGUCCUGGCCCCAUGAGCAGAUGGCCGGCAAGGGCUGUCAGGAGCCCUCACUGCCCAGCCGAUUGGGAUUUCAGGUUUGGGUUCCAGGGCUCAUCUGGCUCAACACGUGGUUUUAGCCACAAGGAAAUCACUGGAGAGGAAGAUCGUUCCCAAGGGUCCCUGCUGUGUCCUUCUAAGUGCGAAGCCCAGGGCGUUUGGCUCAGAUCAUCAGUGGAGCUCCUUGCCGUCAUGGGCUCCGUCUUCCUUGGCAAACUGUUCAGGUCAAAUGUCCAUCUUCUCACUAAACAACUCAUUUUCACAUCGUUGAGUUUCGAGAGUUCUUUCUCUGUGCUGGAUACCGGUC
rnacentral:lncRNA from 13 species